GUUAAUGUUGUUAAUGGGUUCUUUCUAUUGACAUGAUUGGAGUAACAAUUGUUAAUGUUGUUAAUGGGUUCUUGACUCUGUUACUAGACUCUAUUGUUAAUGUUGAAAGGUCCUCAGAAUCGUACAAAGGUAAGUCAUAUAAUUCCAUGGUUGAAGCCCUAUCCAGAAAUGCUACAAAAUUUAUGGCUUCAAUUGCAUCACUUACUGCAAUUGUGUCUUCUUUCACUGUUGAAACUAUGGGUGUUUACGAUUGAAACUGUUGUUAGCAAUUUUCUAUUUACGUUUUCUAAUAUUGCAUUAAUGUUUCUUGUUAUUACUGCUCUAGGAUUUAUCUCUUUGUUUUAGCAGAAUCUAGAUCAUCCCUUCUAUCAAAGGUUUUAUAAUAGAUAAAUAUGCUUCAGUAAUAUUCCGUAUUUAUGGAUAAACACUUACUUAUGAUUCAUUGACAU
rnacentral:lncRNA from 1 species